CUACGGGUCGCAGCAGUAGGGAAUAUUGGACAAUGGGCGAAAGCCUGAUCCAGCAACACCGCGUGCACGAUGACGGCCUUCGGGUUGUAAAGUGCUUUUAGAGGAGAUGAGAAAGGACAGUAUCCUCUGAAUAAGCCUCGGCGAACUACGUGCCAGAAGCCGCGGUAAAACGUAGGAGGCAAGCGUUAUCCGGAUUUAUUGGGCGUAAAGCGCGUGCAGGCGGUCUAGCAAGUUGGAUGUGAAAGCUCCCGGCUCAACUGGGAGAGGUCGUUCAAUACUGUUAGACUAGAGAAUAGGAGAGGGAGGUGGAAUUCCGGGUGUAGUGGUGAAAUGCGUAGAUAUCCGGAGGAACACCAGUGGCGAAAGCGGCCUCCUGGACUAUUUCUGACGCUAAGACGCGAAAGCUAGGGUAGCAAACGGGAUUAGAUACCCCAGUAGUC
rnacentral:rRNA from 1 species